GCUGCCGUAGCUCAGUGGUAGAGCACUCCAUUGGUAAUGGAGAGGUCGAGAGUUCAAUCCUCUCUGGCAGCACCA
rnacentral:tRNA from 3 species